GACGAACGCUGGCGGCGUGCUUAACACAUGCAAGUCGAACGGUGAAAGCGGAGCUUGCUCCGCUGGAUCAGUGGCGAACGGGUGAGUAACACGUGGGCAACCUGCCCCUCACUUCGGGAUAACUCCGGGAAACCGGGGCUAAUACCGGAUAUGACCUCCUUGGGCAUCCUUGGAGGUGGAAAGGUUUUCGGUGAGGGAUGGGCCCGCGGCCUACCAGCUUGUUGGUGAGGUAGUGGCUCACCAAGGCGACGACGGGUAGCCGGCCUGAGAGGGCGACCGGCCACACUGGGACUGAGACACGGCCCAGACUCCUACGGGAGGCAGCAGUGGGGAAUAUUGCGCAAUGGGCGAAAGCCUGACGCAGCAACGCCGCGUGCGGGAUGACGGCCUUCGGGUUGUAAACCGCUUUCAGCAGGGAAGAAGCCGCAAGGUGACGGUACCCGCAGAAGAAGCACCGACUAACUACGUGCCAGCCGCCGCAGUAA
rnacentral:rRNA from 1 species